UACAUUUUGGUUUGUUUUGGCUUUGUUUUAUUUUCUCCCCUUCCUUCUCCUCCCCUUCCCCCCUCCUCUUUCUUCUUCCCUGGUCAUUCUAGGAGCUGGGGCUCCAGCGAUGAACAAGACCCAGGUGCUGCCCUCAAGGAGCCCACACUGGUGUUCAAGUGCCAGGCAAGUCCUUCCUUCCUUGAUGAGAGUCAUCGUGCGCAGAGUUCAGUAAACUUGGAGAAGCUCAUUAUUAUUCAUCAACUUCAAAGAGACUGGCCUGGGCCCCUUGGACAGGACUCAGAGCAGUUUCCUAAUCACGGGCAGAAAGAAAAGGAGACCAGGACACAUGGACUUCGAUUAUUACCCUGUCGUAUCACCCUGUGGAUUUUCCAGGUGGUGCUAGUGGUAAAGAACCCGCCUGCCAAUGCAGGAGACCUAAGGGGCAUGGCUUUGAUACCUGGGUUGGGAAGAUUCCCCCAGAGGAGGGCACGGCAACUCACUCCAGUAUUCCUGCCUGGAGAAUCCUAUGAUGGAGGAGCCUGGCGGGCUAUGGUCCAUGGGGCCGCACAAAGUUGGACACCACUGAAGUGACUUAGCAUGCACGAAUGCAUGACUCUGUAUUGUAGCUUCAUUCCAUUCAGAACUGGAAAGCUCAUCUUGUAACCCAACCAUUUUCCCCUCAAAGUCUGAGCAUGUGGCCUCCCAGUUACCACGGAUGCUUUUUAAAAAUGGAGAUUCCUGGUAUCUGCCCCAUAUUCAUUAAAUCAGAAUUUCUGGGGAUGGUUCCAUGAACCUGGAUUUUUAGCAAGUUCUUCAGUGAUUUUUAUAGUCUAGAGUUUGGGUAUUUUGGCCCUAACCUCACCAGCCCAGUUAUGAGUACAGUCAUACUUUGGAUCCAAAAUAUUGAGGAUGAAGUCUUAAGAACAAGCUUAACAGGAAUGCCAUACAUUUUACCCUGUGAAGAUGGACAUUCUGAGGACAAGGAUGAACAAAGGGCUGAUUAUUAGGUUACCAAUUACAUUGACUCUAGAGAUUAUAGGUGGAAACUCCUAUGACUGUUUUCAAGGCUCCCCUUCAUCGACUGUGAUAUAAGAAGAAAUUUCCCGAUCCAGUUUCUCGGAGGGUGAAGAGCUAACUGCCUCCAGCACUGGC
rnacentral:lncRNA from 1 species